rnacentral:tRNA from 1 species
GCGUUCGUGGUGUAACGGUAGCACACUCUGAUCGUAUUCAAAAGGUCCAGGUUCGAGCCCUGUCGAAUGCA